rnacentral:rRNA from 1 species
GACGAACGCUGGCGGCGUGCUUAACACAUGCAAGUCGAACGGUGAAGCGCCUUCCUUUUUGGUGGGUGUGGAUGAGUGGCGAACGGGUGAGUAACACGUGAGUAACCUGCCCCCUUCUUCUGGAUAACCGCAUGAAAGUGUGGCUAAUACGGGAUAUUCUGGGUCUGUCGCAUGAUGGGUCUGGGAAAGAUAUUGUUUCGGUGGGGGAUGGGCUCGCGGCCUAUCAGCUUGUUGGUGGGGUGAUGGCCUACCAAGGCGGUGACGGGUAGCCGGCCUGAGAGGGUGGACGGUCACACGGGGACUGAGACACGGCCCAGACUCCUACGGGAGGCAGCAGUGGGGAAUAUUGCACAAUGGGCGCAAGCCUGAUGAAGCGGCGCCGCGUGAGGGAUGGAGGACUUCGGGUUGUGAACCUCUUUCGCCAGUGAAGCAGGCCUGCCUCGUUUGUGGGUGGGUUGACGGUAGCUGGAUAAGAAGCGCCGGCUAACUACGUG